GUGCAGCAGGCGCGAAAACUUUACAAUGCUGGCAACAGCGAUAAGGGGACCUCGAGUGCCAGGAUACAAUCUUGGCUGUCGUGAUGCCUAAAAAGCAUUACAUAGCAAGGGCCGGGCAAGACCGGUGCCAGCCGCCGCGGUAACACCGGCGGCUCGAGUGGUAACCGCUAUUAUUGGGUCUAAAGGGUCUGUAGCCGGCCGGAUAAGUCUCUUGGGAAAUCCAGCAGCUCAACUGUUGGGCUUCCAGGGGAUACUGUUCGGCUCGAGGCCGGGAGAGGUGAGAGGUACUUCAGGGGUAGGGGUGAAAUCUUGUAAUCCUUGAAGGACCACCAGUGGCGAAGGCGUCUCACCAGAACGGUCCUGACGGCAAGGGACGAAAGCUAGGGGCACGAACCGGAUUAGAUACCCGGGUAGUCCUAGCCGUAAACGAUACUCGCUAGGUGUCAGCCACGGUGCGACCGUGGUUGGUGCCGUAGGGAAGCCGUGAAGCGAGCCACCUGGGAAGUACGGCCGCAAGGCUGAAACUUAAAGGAAUUGGCGGGGGAGCAC
rnacentral:rRNA from 1 species